rnacentral:rRNA from 1 species
AUUGAACGCUGGCGGCAUGCCUUACACAUGCAAGUCGAACGGCAGCACGGGAGCAAUCCUGGUGGCGAGUGGCGAACGGGUGAGUAAAGUAUCGGAACGUGCCCAGUCGUGGGGGAUAACGUAGCGAAAGUUACGCUAAUACCGCAUACGAUCUAUGGAUGAAAGCGGGGGAUCGCAAGACCUCGCGCGAUUGGAGCGGCCGAUAUCAGAUUAGGUAGUUGGUGGGGUAAAGGCUCACCAGGCCGACGAUCUGUAGCUGGUCUGAGAGGACGACCAGCCACACUGGGACUGGGACACGGCCCAGACUCCUACGGGAGGCAGCAGUGGGGAAUUUUGGACAAUGGGCGCAAGCCUGAUCCAGCCAUGCCGCGUGCAGGAUGAAGGCCUUCGGGUUGUAAACUGCUUUUGUACGGAACGAAAAGGUUUGGCCUAAUAAGCUGAGCUCAUGACGGUACCGUAAGAAUAAGCACCGGCUAACUACGUGCCAGCCGCCGCGGUAAAAC